AUGAGAUUUAUAAUGUCAGCGGCGUGACUGUACACAUCGGUGAAAAUUUGGAGUUUUCGCUCGGAAGAACCAGAGCGAAAAGCGGAAGCUGAACUGAGACUCUUAUAAUUUUACUUAGGAGAAGCCCUAGCUGUUUUUUUUUGAUGAUGGACAUCAACUGCGGACAGUCUGUUUUCUUGCUUGAUAGGAAAAACGAGCUAAAUAAGCUUAUGUUACAGAGGGUAUUCACAUUCUGUAACAGUUUUUUUAUAACUACGAAUAUGAUGUUUUCCAGUAAUAUAACGGUACUUCAAUUAAAAAUCCCCGCUUUUAUCAGUGCUUCAAUAUUGUAUUUUCUAUCCCGCUAGAUAUUGAUCUUGAUCGAAUGCGCUAUAAACACGCAGAAGCGAUAUAAGUAGCAGAUAAAGAAAUGUAUAUAUAAAAGCACACAGCAGAUUUCAAAAUGAUCAGACUGUAAAGUAUCUUGAAAUCAUCAACACACUACCAGACCAAUUUUACUAACCGCCAAAAUGAGUCAAACUCUUACCUACCUUUUGCUCUUGGUCGUCCUUAUCGCCUGUCUGACUAAUGGCGCUGUUGCGGCGGCUGAAUGGGGAUGCAGCAGCAACAGCGAAUGCGGAACGUGCAGCUGUACUGGUGGAUAUUGCGUCUGUCCCGAUGGAGUGGUCUAAAUCAGCUGAGAAGCCUUAUCGUCCUUUUAUUGAUUGAUUUCGAGAAGAACAAUGUAGCUUUAUAACUUGAUUAAUUUUUCUAAUCCACUAAAAUAAAUGAUUUAUAGUAUUCCAUAAA